rnacentral:rRNA from 1 species
GAGGACAGCUGGCGGCGUGCCUAAUACAUGCAAGUCGAGCGAACGGACGAGAAGCUUGCUUCUCUGAUGUUAGCGGCGGACGGGUGAGUAACACGUGGAUAACCUACCUAUAAGACUGGGAUAACUUCGGGAAACCGGAGCUAAUACCGGAUAAUAUUUUGAACCGCAUGGUUCAAAAGUGAAAGACGGUCUUGCUGUCACUUAUAGAUGGAUCCGCGCUGCAUUAGCUAGUUGGUAAGGUAACGGCUUACCAAGGCAACGAUGCAUAGCCGACCUGAGAGGGUGAUCGGCCACACUGGAACUGAGACACGGUCCAGACUCCUACGGGAGGCAGCAGUAGGGAAUCUUCCGCAAUGGGCGAAAGCCUGACGGAGCAACGCCGCGUGAGUGAUGAAGGUCUUCGGAUCGUAAAACUCUGUUAUUAGGGAAGAACAUAUGUGUAAGUAACUGUGCACAUCUUGACGGUACCUAAUCAGAAAGCCACGGCUAACUACGUG